GAUGAACGCUGGCGGCGUGCCUAAUACAUGCAAGUCGAGCGAAUGGAUUAAGAGCUUGCUCUUAUGAAGUUAGCGGCGGACGGGUGAGUAACACGUGGGUAACCUGCCCAUAAGACUGGGAUAACUCCGGGAAACCGGGGCUAAUACAGGAUAACAUUUUGAACCGCAUGGUUCGAAAUUGAAAGGCGGCCUCGGCUGUCACUUAUGGAUGGACCCGCGUCGCAUUAGCUAGUUGGUGAGGUAACGGCUCACCAAGGCAACGAUGCGUAGCCGACCUGAGAGGGUGAUCGGCCACACUGGGACUGAGACACGGCCCAGACUCCUACGGGAGGCAGCAGUAGGGAGUCUUCCGCAAUGGACGAAAGUCUGACGGAGCAACGCCGCGUGAGUGAUGAAGGCUUUCGGGUCGUAAAACUCUGUUGUUAGGGAAGAACAAGUGCUAGUUGAAUAAGCUGGCACCUUGACGGUACCUAACCAGAAAGCCACGGCUAACUACGUGCCAGCCGCCGCAGUAA
rnacentral:rRNA from 1 species